rnacentral:rRNA from 1 species
UACGGAGGGUGCAAGCGUUAUCCGGAUUUACUGGGUUUAAAGGGUGCGUAGGCGGACUAUUAAGUUAGAUGUGAAAGCUUGCAGCUUAACUGUAAGAUUGCGUUUGAUACUGGUAGUCUUGAAUAUGGUAGAAGUUGGCGGAAUAAAUCAUGUAGCGGUGAAAUGCAUAGAUAUGAUUUAGAACACCGAUUGCGAAGGCAGCUAGCUAUGCCAUGAUUGACGCUGAGGCACGAAAGCGUGGGGAUCAAACAGG